UGCUAAGUAGCAUGUGAUAAACUCAAGGGUGAAAUUUUGUCUUUAAUAAUAAUAAUAAUGAUAAUGAUAAUAGUAAUAAUUUUAAUAAUACUUUUGUGAAUUUUAAUCUCCAUGAGAUUAUUCUGUGAUCCAGGGUGCCAUUGUUUGUUCAGUUGGUUUCAUUUACACCGCUCCUCGAGUUUACUGUUAACUGGUUCUAAUACCAAUAUUUUACUAUGAAGUUCAUUAACCUGGAAUGUAAAACAAAACUGUAAUUCCUCCUAAAUCUUAUUUACAUGUGUUUAUUUAUAGUCUGCAGUGUAGGGCAGUAAAUUGAAAGGAUUAUGUGUACUAAAUUAACAAAAAGUGCAGCCCCGAGUGACUUCCUGAUUUCUUCAGAAUAACUCAUGAAAAUCAAGUGAGAGUUAAGUCUUAAAAUAAUCAGUUUUAAUUCAGAAAACUUUGGGCUGUAGAAUAAUCAAGCCUGAAAGAAGCAGCACCUAAAACUUGUUUUAUUGAUAGAAUGGAAUUUAAUACCUUUUACAUAUGCUUCAUGCAAUGAAUUUUGCAUGUUUAGUAAUAACUCUUAAUAAUAAGGGUUAAUAAUAAGCAGAUCUAUAUUAUUGACAUAAUCAUAUCAAGCAUAAAGAGUAUUAUAAAACUUUUAUAAAACAACUCGUGCUUUAUUUGUGAAAGUUCUUGUUCUGAAUGACACAUUUAGAUUUAGCUAAAUGUUUUCUUGCUAUUGUUUUGAUUUUUACUUUAGGUUUUGGAUAUUGUUACUGGCUUAGGGUAUAAUCUCUUUUUUUAAAAGUAGAUAUACUUUUAAAUGAUAAUUGCUACCUGCAGGUUUUAUACGAGGUUCAAUUAGGCUUUCAUUUCACAUCUGCUUAUUACUUGCAGAGAAGGAAAUAGACUUUAUUUGCAAUGAUGAACACUGUAAUUAAUGCAAUCUUCUCCUCUCCUAUCACUUAGAGAAAAAAUUUUGAUAUUUCCUCUUACAACUUUACCAGAAGAUAUUAAUUCAAAUAUCAGUAAAUACGUUUUGUGCAUAUUUUGGUUUUGUUACAGCAUGUAAAAUAGUAUUUGGUGCAUUCCCCUUAUUUUUUUUCCCUUCUGCCUUGUUCCCCUUAGCAGCCAUAGGCACUUUUUGUCUGUCAGAUGUGCAUGAUGAUGCCAGAAGCAUGAUGUCUCUGUUGCUGCAUGCAGACUGGUUACGAUUUUUCCAGCAUGUAAACAUAUUCAAAAAAACUUUAGUAACUCUGCUGAAGCCGUUUGGAGAGGAAUAAAAUCCGAUCUGAUAACGUUUCUUACCGAAUCUGGAGUCCAGCUUUUGUACCUGGAGUCAGGGUGUGGAGGGGGAGUGAUGCUGACUGUGUGGGUCAGCUGCACUCACCUCUCUUCCAGUCACUGAGAUUUUUAUGUGCAAUUUAAAAAUUCCGUGUCAAUGGAAGUCUUACCAGAACUGAUCAUUGGAAGGUGAGAUUCCCUGUGGAUAAAUAAGGUCAGCACAGCUGUUUUCUAGUAAUGUUUAUACGACUCCUGGUCCGUCUACCACAGGUUGAUACUUUCUGUUGAUAUUUUAAUGUAUUUCUGUGUUGUAUUUAUGUCUUUGUGUUUUUCUUUUCCUUGUCUGUGACACAGUAGGUCAAAUUUAAAAGAAAACUGCUCCAGAAGCUGGUUUUUUUUUUUCUCCCACUGAUGUCAGUUGACCUAAAUAAAUAAAUUAAGAGUCUAUUAAUGAUUCUAAACAGGAUGAGUAGCAACAGCAUUGAUAAUGCUCAGCCUGAUGCCAUUAGAGCUCAUUUCUCACUCAGGACUCAUUGGACAGUCCACAGCUGAUGUUACAUUAAUUUUAUAAUCAUUACUGACAGGAACAUUUUAAUAGAAAGGAAAAUGAUGUUUCUGAUAUUUAUAUAAGCUUUUUCCCUAAGAAUUACUUGGAUUUACUUUCCUUCUAUUUGAACCCCAUGAGGCAACACUGCCAAGGGCUCUGUCCUUCCAGAGCUUGGCUGGGGCCAAGAGCCCAAAAUCACCAAAAAUAUGAAUUAUAUUAUAUGUUUGUGUCCAUUGCUGUUGGCCUUGGAGCAGAAAAAAGUUUUGUUGCAGUGGUAACAAAUUUAAUCAAUGGCUCGUUCCCCACCAGGCCUUUCGUUUAUUCUCUCCCAUGUUAUCAAAAUGAAUGUAAAAAAAUUAAUUUCAACAAAAUGAAGCUCGUUGGCUCUUUUUAAAAUGUGCAUUCCCCAACAGUCUUUGGUUUUGCACAAUACAGAGAACACCUGAAACUUUUCAAAUGACUGUAUGCUACUUUAAUGUUCCCUUUUUUUAAACAAGGAGUAAUCCUGCCUUUAAAUCAUUCGUAUUUUUAAUAUUAUUUUAAGACCCUAAUGUUGUAUUUAUACAGAGGAGAACAUUAUUUAUUUUCAUAUCAUUUAUUUGCAAGAUGCUACCAGAAAACUUGGAGAGGCCAUUGAUCUUUCAAAAGAUUAAAAAAAAAAUACCAUAGGAAGUGUAGUGGGCAAGACUGAUGUACAAAUUACAGCAUCUUUUUUUUUCUUUUCUUAAUUCGCAAUAUCUUCAAUCUUUGUUUGCAUGAAAUGCUUUUGUUAAAUAUUAAUUGUAGUUUCCAAACAAGUGUGUACGAAUAAAAAUACUGAUCAUUA